AAACACUUUCGUUACAGUCCCACCAGGACCACCGCAAAAUCAACCAGAUAAGUCUUCAACAGUAAUAACAGUAGAUAUUUAUAGGGUUUUUGAGUAUAUUCUCUGAAUCUCUUCAUUUCUCUCUCUCUCUCUCUCUAAAAAUGGCAGUGUUUUGUUUCUCUUUCUACACCUUCAAAUUCAGUACUCUCCUUCACUCUCACUCUUCUUCUUCAACUUCGCAUUUGACAGAACAGUCGCUCUCCAAUUUGUUUGGAGGAGAGGGAGAAGGAAUCGUUAAACGGAGUAAGAGGAGAAGGAGCGGCGCGUGUAGGUUCGUGGUGCUCUCUACGCACUCCAACUCUCGGAUUCUCAAGUCCAACCGCCGGUCGCGCUUCGGCAACGUGCUCUCGCCGUUUGAUAGCGAUGAGGAGAAGGACGACGAAGACGAAGACGACGACGACGAUGAUGAUGACGGCGACGUGGCGGAGAAUGAUUGGUUGCCCAAUGAUGAUUUUGCCGAAACUGCAGACUUUGAUGUCAAUGGAAAGAGAGUUAAAUCACAGGACACGCAUAAAACUAGAAAAGGUGGCCGGAAACAAUCAGAAAAAGGCCAGGAUCUAAGACCAUCCAAGUCUGGACAAAGCCUCAAAAUCGAUGAAGACCAAUUGGAUGUGAAAAAUGGCAAGAACAGGUAUGCUCGAUUAUCCGAAGAAAUUGAAUUGGAUAGAAAAUGGUUUCCACUUCUUGAUUACUUGAGAACGUUUGGGCUUAAGGAUUCGCACUUUAUUCAAAUGUAUGAGAGGCACAUGCCUUCCCUUCAAAUAAAUGUGUGUUCAGCACAAGAAAGGUUGGAGUACUUGUUGAGUGUUGGUGUCAAAUAUAGAGAUGUAAAAAGAAUAAUUUUGAGGCAGCCGCAGAUUUUGGAGUACACGGUGGAGAACAAUUUGAAGUCUCAUGUUGCUUUCUUGAUGGGUUUGGGUAUUCCAAGUUCCAGAGUAGGGCAGAUAAUUGCUGCUGCACCAUCUCUGUUUUCUUAUAGUCUUGAGAAUUCGUUGAGACCCACGGUCAGAUACUUGGUUGAGGAGGUUGGCAUUAAUGAAAAAGAUUUAGGUAAAGUCGUGCAGCUUAGCCCUCAGAUCCUGGUUCAGCGCAUUGACAUAUCAUGGAAUACUCGUUAUAUUUUUCUGUCAAAGGAAUUAGGAGCUCCAAGAGAUAGUGUAGUCAAGAUGGUGAAGAAACAUCCUCAGCUCCUCCAUUACAGUAUUGAUGAUGGAUUACUGCCUAGAAUUAAUUUUCUGAGGAGUAUUGGGAUGCAGGAUUCUGACAUCUUGAAAGUUUUGACCAGCCUCACACAGGUAUUAUCAUUGUCACUGGAGGAGAAUCUGAAGCCUAAGUAUAAGUACUUGAUCAAUGAACUUCAUAACGAGGUGCAUUCCUUGACAAAAUAUCCCAUGUACUUGAGUUUGUCUUUGGACCAAAGAAUUCGUCCUCGCCAUAGGUUCUUGGUUUCCCUAAAGAAAGCUCCAAAGGGGCCGUUUCCUCUUAGUUCACUGGUUCCAACUGAUGAAAGCUUUUGUCAGCAGUGGGCUGGAACCAGUGUAGAUAAAUAUUUGGCAUUUCGGCAGAGACUUCUACUUAAGGAGUUUGCUCAGAAAUAUGAGAAGAAAGGAUAACACACUGCCUUCAAGUGUGACCUAGGCUUAUGAUACAAGUAUUGGAAUAACAGUAUCUUCAUUAACUUCAGCAGCCAAUAUACUUGUUUUUGUUAUAAUGAGAUUAUUGGGUGAAGCUCGGCAUCUUUGAUUUUUAUAAGCCUCCAGUAAGCAAAUGCUACUGCUGUGGUUUCAUCAAUACUAUAAUCUGUGCUGAAGCUUCUCUAGUUGCAUCAUACAGAGUCGAUGUUUGUAGUUGCUUGCAGUCUCAGUUGAAGGCCUGUGAUAGUGGUUCCUUAAAAAGUUCUUGUCAUUUAAACACAAAAUGACAGCGUGGCAAGGUCUGUUAUCUUAAGGUAAGUUUAUAUUCCUCGAAAAUAAUUGCAUAUAGAACAAUGCAGUUUAGGAGGGAUAGAUAGUGGAUAUAUGCUGGAAUUGGGUCUACCAUUUGACAAUUCACUGCAAAAUGGUUUAUAUUCUUAGAUUAGUUGAUUGCAACAUUAUGAAUAUAUGCCUUCAAUCCAUUAAAAGCUCUCCUUUUUAGAUGCUCCAAAAAGUUAAUAAGGUAUGUAUCCACAUUCCAGCUCAUUUAUGAGGACAAUUUUGAAGGAGCAUGUUGUACUUGGUAUAAGUUCCUAAAAAAACUUCAUGCUUCCAUGCAUUUUUGGUAACAAAUACUUUUUGAACUGAUUUUAUGUAUCUUACUUUUCAUAUAUGCUUUCAUCAUCGACACAGACCUAGGAAUAGCAUCUCAUAAAAAUGUAAAAUACUUCUGUUUAUAUGUCCCCAUCAUAUGUAUUUAUAGUGGAUCUAUUCAUAAUAAAGUGACUAAAUUUUACGUUGGACGUCAA